rnacentral:rRNA from 1 species
GACGAACGCUGGCGGCGUGCUUAACACAUGCAAGUCGAACGGUAAGGCCCUUCGGGGUACACGAGUGGCGAACGGGUGAGUAACACGUGGGUGAUCUGCCCUGCACUUCGGGAUAAGCCUGGGAAACUGGGUCUAAUACCGGAUAGGACUCCGGACUGCAUGGUCUGGGGUGGAAAGCUUUUGCGGUGUGGGAUGGGCCCGCGGCCUAUCAGCUUGUUGGUGGGGUGAUGGCCUACCAAGGCGACGACGGGUAGCCGGCCUGAGAGGGUGACCGGCCACAGUGGGACUGAGAGACGGCCCAGACUCCUACGGGAGGCAGCAGUGGGGAAUAUUGCACAAUGGGCGCAAGACUGAUGCAGCGACGCCGCGUGAGGGAUGACGGCCUUCGGGUUGUAAACCUCUUUCAGUAGGGAAGAAGCGAAAGUGACGGUACCUGCAGAAAAAGCACCGGCUAACUACGUGCCAGCAGCCGCAGUAA